rnacentral:tRNA from 1 species
GGGCCUGUAGUAUAAUGGUAUUAUGCGUGGCUGGCAGUCAUGAGACUCGAGUUCGAUUCUCGACAGGUCCA